rnacentral:rRNA from 1 species
GAUGAACGCUGGCGGCGUGCCUAAUACAUGCAAGUCGAGCGAACGGACGAGAAGCUUGCUUUUCUGAUGUUAGCGGCGGACGGGUGAGUAACACGUGGAUAACCUACCUAUAAGACUGGGAUAACUUCGGGAAACCGGAGCUAAUACCGGAUAAUAUUUUGAACCGCAUGGUUCAAAAGUGAAAGACGGUCUUGCUGUCACUUAUAGAUGGAUCCGCGCUGCAUUAGCUAGUUGGUAAGGUAACGGCUUACCAAGGCAACGAUGCAUAGCCGACCUGAGAGGGUGAUCGGCCACACUGGAACUGAGACACGGUCCAGACUCCUACGGGAGGCAGCAGUAGGGAAUCUUCCGCAAUGGGCGAAAGCCUGACGGAGCAACGCCGCGUGAGUGAUGAAGGUCUUCGGAUCGUAAAACUCUGUUAUUAGGGAAGAACAUAUGUGUAAGUAACUGUGCACAGCUUGACGGUACCUAGUCAGAAAGCCACGGCUAACUACGUG